UUGUUAGGACCACCCGGUCUAAUAUAAUAGAUGUAAUAAAACGUAGUCAUUAGUAUUCAAUUGAUAUUGUAUCCGGAAGACCUCGAUUGUAUUUUGUUAUAUUAUCAUUUUGUGUUGUAAGUAAUUAAUUAAUAUUAUAUUGCGUAAUAAGGAAAAGUAGUACAGAUAUGUACUUAGAAUAGUAACUGCCCAAAUUAAAGGUUCUUAAGGUAUAUAAAGAGAACUCGGGGGACACUAGUCAACCAGUCAUUACCGAGUGUGAAACAAGUACCUAUGUAUUUGUCAUAUCUGUGUAAAUAAUAAACUAAGUUUAGAACAAUUGUUGUUUAUUUUCUUAAGUUUAAAAUCCAAAUCCUUAUAAACUCGUUUUGAGUCUACUUGGCUCAUAACAGUAUCUAGAAAUUCGUUGGUACAAACCGGUAUACCAUGUUGAUGCCAAUUCGUUCAUACCGGUGUGAUUCGGAUAUUAUGGUACUAUGUUAUCUAUUCUAUGUUAGUAUUUUUGAAUAAUUCAAACAUUAGGCGGCUCUCACACCGGAGCAAUAGGCAAUGAGCAACUAGCAAUCGGCGAUAAGCAAUAAUAUUGCCAUUUGAAUAAUCUUGUAGAAAAUAGUGAAUGUUCUCACACCAAAGCAACAC